rnacentral:ncRNA from 1 species
CAUGGCUAAGUGGGAAAGGAUGUGGGAAUCCCAAAACAACCAGGAGGUUGGCUUAGAAGCAGCCAUCCUUUAAAGAAAGCGUAAUAGCUCACUGGUCUAAUAGUCAGCCUGCGCCGAAAAUGUAACGGGGCUAAAGCCACCCACCGAAGCUGCGGGUGUGCACGCAAGUGCACGCGGUAGCGGAGCGUUCUGUAAGCCUGUGAAGGGCGACCCGUGAGGGCGCCUGGAGGUAUCAGAAGUGAGAAUGCUGACAUGAGUAACGAGAGGAGUGUGAGAAACACUCCCGCCGAAAGUCCAAGGGUUCCUGCGCAAGGUUAAUCCGCGCAGGGUGAGCCGGUCCCUAAGGCGAGGCCGACAGGCGUAGUCGAUGGGAACCACGUUAAUAUUCGUGGGCCUGGUAGAGGUGACGAAUGGCGAUAGUUGUUUGGGCUUAUUGGAUUGCUCCAAGCAGCGUAGUUGUUCCAGGAAAUAGCCCUACCGUAUAGACCGUACCCGAAACCGACACAGGUGGACUGGUUGAGAAUACCAAGGCGCUUGAGAGAACUAUCUUGAAGGAACUAGGCAAAUUGCCCUCGUAACUUCGGAAGAAGAGGGCCCACAUCCGACGCAAGU